AAUAAUAAAUUAAAAUACUUAUUAGUUUUAUAUUUUUUAAUUAAAAAAGUUUGAUUCUAGUUUUUAAAAUAAUUUUAUUUUUAUUUUACAUGUUUAAAAUUUAUGUUAUUAUUAAUUGCAGUAAUUCAUAUUUUACAACUUAUAUAGGUAUAGAAAUAAAUAAAUAGCUGAAUAAAUAUGUGCCAGCAUUCGCGGUUAGACAUAAGGUUUAAUUAUUUAAUUAGGUAAAAUUAAGUUUAUUAAUUAAUAAUUAGUUAAAUUUAAGAUCAGGUAAAAUUGAGUAUUAUAAAAUUGAGAUAUUUAUUUUUAUUCUUUUAGAAAAUUAGAUUUGUUAACCUGGAUUAGAUACCCAGUUAUUCUAAUAUUAAUUUUUAACCUGAGUAGUAUAAAUUUAGGAACUUAAAGAAUUUGGCGGUAUUUUUUACUAAUUAGAGGAACCUGUUCCAUGAUUGAUAGCCCACGAUAGACUUUACAUCUUUUAAAAUUUAUAUAUCGCUGUUGUAACGAAUGAAUUUUGAAAAAAUUUUUUCUGUAUAUUGUUAAGAAAUUUAUAACAAGUCAAGGUGUAGUGUAUAAAGAUGAGGUAAUGGGUUACAUUAAUUUAAAAUUAUGGAAAAUUAGUAUAUUAAAAUUAAUAAAAUAGGAUUUAAUAGUAAAAUUUUUAACUUUAUAAAUUUAAAUAAAGUUCUAAAGUAUGCACACAUCGCCCGUCGCUCUUAUUUAAUAUAAGAUAAGUCGUAACAAAGUAGGUCCGCCGGAAGGGGGACCUGGAUAG
rnacentral:ncRNA from 1 species